rnacentral:rRNA from 6 species
UGUCGAUGAAGAGCGCAGCCAACUGUGUGAAUUAAUGUGAACUGCAUACUGCUUUGAACAUCGACAUCUUGAACGC